rnacentral:rRNA from 1 species
GGACUACCGGGGUUUCUAAUCCCGUUUGCUCCCCUGGCUUUCGCGCAUCAGCGUCAGAAGAGGACCAGCAGCUCGCUUUCGCCACCGGAGUUCCUUCCAAUAUCAACGCAUUUCACCGCUCCACUGGAAGUUCCAGCUGCCCCUACCUCCCUCCAGCCUCUCAGUAUCCAAGGCACUUUUCCGGUUAAGCCGAAAGAUUUCACCCCGGACUUGAGAGACCGCCUACGCGCCCUUUAAGCCCAGUGAUUCCGAACAACGUUCGCACGGUUCGUCUUACCGCGGCGGCUGGCAC